AAACUGGAGAGUUUGAUCCUGGCUCAGAUUGAACGCUGGCGGUAGGCCUAACACAUGCAAGUCGAACGGCAGCAGACCGUGACAAUCCCUUCGGGGUGCGUUUGGUGCUGGCGAGUGGCGGACGGGUGAGUAACACGUAGGAAUCUGCCAAACAGUGGGGGACAACCCGGAGAAAUCCGGGCUAAUACCGCAUACGCCCUACGGGGGAAAGCGGGGGACCUUCGGGCCUCGCGCUGUUUGAGGAGCCUGCGUCGGAUUAGCUUGUUGGUGAGGUAAAGGCUCACCAAGGCAACGAUCCGUAGCUGGUCUGAGAGGAUGAUCAGCCACACUGGGACUGAGACACGGCCCAGACUCCUACGGGAGGCAGCAGUGGGGAAUAUUGCACA
rnacentral:rRNA from 1 species